rnacentral:rRNA from 2 species
CUUUUACAAUGAAGAGUUUGAUCCUGGCUCAGGAUGAACGCUAGCUACAGGCUUAACACAUGCAAGUCGAGGGGCAUCAGGAAGAAAGCUUGCUUUCUUUGCUGGCGACCGGCGCACGGGUGAGUAACACGUAUCCAACCUGCCCUUUACUCGGGGAUAGCCUUUCGAAAGAAAGAUUAAUACCCGAUGGCAUAAUGAUUCCGCAUGGUUUCAUUAUUAAAGGAUUCCGGUAAAGGAUGGGGAUGCGUUCCAUUAGGUUGUUGGUGAGGUAACGGCUCACCAAGCCUUCGAUGGAUAGGGGUUCUGAGAGGAAGGUCCCCCACAUUGGAACUGAGACACGGUCCAAACUCCUACGGGAGGCAGCAGUGAGGAAUAUUGGUCAAUGGGCGGUAGCCUGAACCAGCCAAGUAGCGUGAAGGAUGAAGGCUCUAUGGGUCGUAAACUUCUUUUAUAUAAGAAUAAAGUGCAGUAUGUAUACUGUUUUGUAUGUAUUAUAUGAAUAAGGAUCGGCUAACUCCGUGCCAGCAGCCGCGGUAAUACGGAGGAUCCGAGCGUUAUCCGGAUUUAUUGGGUUUAAAGGGAGCGUAGGUGGACUGGUAAGUCAGUUGUGAAAGUUUGCGGCUCAACCGUAAAAUUGCAGUUGAUACUGUCAGUCUUGAGUACAGUAGAGGUGGGCGGAAUUCGUGGUGUAGCGGUGAAAUGCUUAGAUAUCACGAAGAACUCCGAUUGCGAAGGCAGCUCACUGGACUGCAACUGACACUGAUGCUCGAAAGUGUGGGUAUCAAACAGGAUUAGAUACCCUGGUAGUCCACACAGUAAACGAUGAAUACUCGCUGUUUGCGAUAUACAGUAAGCGGCCAAGCGAAAGCAUUAAGUAUUCCACCUGGGGAGUACGCCGGCAACGGUGAAACUCAAAGGAAUUGACGGGGGCCCGCACAAGCGGAGGAACAUGUGGUUUAAUUCGAUGAUACGCGAGGAACCUUACCCGGGCUUAAAUUGCAGUGGAAUGAUGUGGAAACAUGUCAGUGAGCAAUCACCGCUGUGAAGGUGCUGCAUGGUUGUCGUCAGCUCGUGCCGUGAGGUGUCGGCUUAAGUGCCAUAACGAGCGCAACCCUUAUCUUCAGUUACUAACAGGUCAUGCUGAGGACUCUGGAGAGACUGCCGUCGUAAGAUGUGAGGAAGGUGGGGAUGACGUCAAAUCAGCACGGCCCUUACGUCCGGGGCUACACACGUGUUACAAUGGGGGGUACAGAAGGCAGCUAGCGGGUGACCGUAUGCUAAUCCCAAAAUCCUCUCUCAGUUCGGAUCGAAGUCUGCAACCCGACUUCGUGAAGCUGGAUUCGCUAGUAAUCGCGCAUCAGCCACGGCGCGGUGAAUACGUUCCCGGGCCUUGUACACACCGCCCGUCAAGCCAUGGGAGCCGGGGGUACCUGAAGUACGUAACCGCAAGGAUCGUCCUAGGGUAAAACUGGUGACUGGGGCUAAGUCGUAACAAGGUAGCCGUACCGGAAGGUGCGGCUGGAACACCUCCUUUCU